rnacentral:rRNA from 1 species
AUGAACGCUGGCGGCGUGCCUAAUACAUGCAAGUCGAGCGAACAGACGAGGAGCUUGCUCCUCUGACGUUAGCGGCGGACGGGUGAGUAACACGUGGAUAACCUACCUAUAAGACUGGGAUAACUUCGGGAAACCGGAGCUAAUACCGGAUAAUAUAUUGAACCGCAUGGUUCAAUAGUGAAAGACGGUUUUGCUGUCACUUAUAGAUGGAUCCGCGCCGCAUUAGCUAGUUGGUAAGGUAACGGCUUACCAAGGCAACGAUGCGUAGCCGACCUGAGAGGGUGAUCGGCCACACUGGAACUGAGACACGGUCCAGACUCCUACGGGAGGCAGCAGCAGGGAAUCUUCCGCAAUGGGCGAAAGCCUGACGGAGCAACGCCGCGUGAGUGAUGAAGGUCUUCGGAUCGUAAAACUCUGUUAUUAGGGAAGAACAAAUGUGUAAGUAACUAUGCACGUCUUGACGGUACCUAAUCAGAAAGCCACGGCUAACUACGUG